UUCUAGAACUAUUUGGUUUAUUGUCAAGUCUUUCUUAAACUUUUUUUUUUAGUUUAACAAAUAGUUUUAUUCUAGUAUGAAAGGCAUCCAGGUUAUCUAGACCUCCAUACAACCAGAAGCUAAAAUUCCAGAUUUCAUAAAGUUAAAUAAAUUUAAAUAAUAUUGAAUAUUAUCAUUUAUUUACUAGCAUUUUUUAUAUAGUGAUGUACAAGAAGAUUAAUGUUUUUAUGCUUGCUCACACCACAUCUAUUCUUCAGCCCAUGGAUCAAGGGGUAAUUUUUGCUUUCCAGUUUUAUUAUUUAAGAAAUAUAUUUCUUAAGGCUAUAGCUGCCAUAAAUAGUGAUUCCUCCAAUGGACCUGUGCAAAAUAAGUUGAGAAUUUUUUAGAAAGGAUUCAUAAUUCUAGAUGCCAUUAAAAACAUUCAUGAUUCAUGGAAGAGGUCAAAAUGUCAACAUUAACAGGAGUUUGGAAGUUGAUUCCAACCCUCAUGAAUGACUUUGUG
rnacentral:lncRNA from 10 species